UACGUAGGCAGCGAGCGUUGUUCGGAGUUACUGGGCGUAAAGGGUGUGUAGGCGGUUGUCUAAGUUUGGUGUGAAAUCUCCCGGCUCAACUGGGAGGGUGCGCCGAAUACUGAAUGACUAGAGUACGGGAGAGGAAAGUGGAAUUCCUGGUGUAGCGGUGAAAUGCGUAGAUAUCAGGAGGAACACCGGUGGUGUAGACGGCUUUCUGGACCGUAACUGACGCUGAAACACGAAAGCGUGGGUAGCAAACAGG
rnacentral:rRNA from 1 species